UACGUAGGGUGCGAGCGUUGUUCGGAAUUACUGGGCGUAAAGGACUCGUAGGCGGCCAACUAAGUCGGACGUGAAAUCCCCAGGCUCAACCUGGGAACUGCGUCCGAUACUGGAUGGCUUGAAUUCGGGAGAGGGAUGCAGAAUUCCAGGUGUAGCGGUGAAAUGCGUAGAUAUCUGGAGGAAUACCGGUGGCGAAGGCGGCAUCCUGGACCGACAUUGACGCUGAGGAGCGAAAGCUAGGGGAGCAAACGGG
rnacentral:rRNA from 1 species